GCGGCGGGUCCUGGUGCCGGAGCUCCAACUUCUGUUGCCAUGACGGCGGUCAUGGAAGCAGCAGCGAAAAGAACUCCGCAGGCAAUCUUCUUCAUCUCCAUUUUUAGUUGAGACCUGAAAGGUUUUUUUUUUACUUCUUUUUUUGGUAGUUUUGUUACUUUUUUAUUGUUUCUUGCAGGUCUGAAGAAAACUAGAUGAUGUUCACGGGGAUUUAUACGGGAGAUAUUGCAGGUUGUUCAUUCAAUUUUUUUUUGGCAGUUUGUUUGUUUGUAUUAAAUCAUACAUUCGAACCACAAAGAAAAGUUGGAUGGAGUUGUUCAAAAAAAAAAGUUGGAUGGCGGGAAAAGAAAAAGAAAGUCUUGGGCCAAAUCCAAAAAAAAAUAGUUUGGGGCUGCAUCUGGUCUAUGUCUCAACGUCUGGAACCCAAGAACUUUACACAACAAAGUUAAUAGUCUACAUAUGCUUUCAGGGGAGUACGAUUCUAGAAACGUUUAAGGCAUUCACAAUCGGGGAAAGAAACAUCAUGGACAUUUCACAUUUGUAACAUAUAAGAAUGCUCAGUGUGCUUUGUGCAACGUUUUAAACACCAAACUUUACAUCCAACUUUUGAGGUUUAGAAACGUAACCAUUGUACCUAGAACGUUCAAAGUUCAAACCAUACAACAUAAACCCUGGUGUAGUCUAAAACUGUGAGUGGUUGAAACUUAAACCCUCCCCGCGCCGGAAAACAUGACACGUAUAUAAAACUAAGUGAUAUAGGUAUUCUUUAUU